ensembl:lncRNA
AAAUUGUCCCCAAAUGAGCAAAGUGAUCACUAUGUUUCUCCCUGUCUCCCUAGGCCCCAAACACACUAAGGAGCCUUUCACGUAAAUGCCAAGCUAAAGUGCCACUCCAGGGCGUGGUGGGUACUGCCACUGAAGUGUUUGUACAUCGAAUAACAAGAAGAUUCCACCAAAAGUCUGUAAAAAGGGGUGAGAAAACUGAUGUGGCUGUGACCCUAGCUUUGGCCUUGAAGUGAUUAUGAAAUGGAGGAAGAAAUUUGACUCUCCAAAUGACCAACAGGAGCUCAACAGGCAUCCUCCCCACUCAAGAUUGCAAGAGCUAACAUCAGCUGUCUCCAAGACUAAACCCUCAAACAGUUGGAAGAAGACAUUUUCCAUGAUGAAUUUGUAUAAGAAGAGCAUGAUCAAGUCAAUGGUGUCCAACAACCUGAAUCAAUCCCAUAUUAAGGCUGGUACAACAAAUCCCCUAACUUCUGAGAUCGUGCAUUUAUUUAAGUAAUACAGGAAGAACUCUUGAACAUCUACUUUCAAGUUUACAAAACUCCUUGAGGCGGAAAAAUGAAAAAAUAAAUGAAAGAUUGGGAUAUCUACUCUGCUUGAG